AUUGAACGCUGGCGGCAUGCUUUACACAUGCAAGUCGAACGGUAACAGGUUAAGCUGCCGCGUGGCGAACGGGUGAGUAAUGCAUCGGAACGUGCCCGAUCGUGGGGGAUAACGCAGCGAAAGCUGCGCUAAUACCGCAUACGAUCUGAGGAUGAAAGCGGGGGACCGUAAGGCCUCGCGCGAUCGGAGCGGCCGAUGUCAGAUUAGGUAGUUGGUGGGGUAAAGGCUCACCAAGCCGACGAUCUGUAGCUGGUCUGAGAGGACGACCAGCCACACUGGGACUGAGACACGGCCCAGACUCCUACGGGAGGCAGCAGUGGGGAAUUUUGGACAAUGGGCGCAAGCCUGAUCCAGCAAUGCCGCGUGCAGGAAGAAGGCCUUCGGGUUGUAAACUGCUUUUGUACGGAGCGAAAAGGCUCUCUCUAAUACAGGGGGCUCAUGACGGUACCGUAAGAAUAAGCACCGGCUAACUACGUG
rnacentral:rRNA from 1 species